ensembl:lncRNA
AUGGUCACUAUCACACAGCUCCUCCAACAUACAGUCUGCUAUGGUCACUAUCAGACAGCUCCUCCAACAUACAGUCUGCUAUGUUCACUAUCUCACAGCUCCUCCAACAUACAGUCUGCUAUGGUCACUAUCACACAGCUCCUCCAACAUACAGUCUGCUAUGGUCACUAUCACACAGCUCCUCCAACAUACAGUCUGCUAUGGUCACUAUCACACAGCUCCUCCAACAUACAGUCUGCUAUGGUCACUAUCUCACAGCUCCUCCAACAUACAGUCUGCUAUGGUCACUAUCAGACAGCUCCUCCAACAUACAGUCUGCUAUGGUCACUAUCUCACAGCUCCUCCAACAUACAGUCUGCUAUGGUCACUAUCACACAGCUCCUCCAACAUACAGUCUGCUAUGGUCACUAUCAGACAGCUCCUCAACAUACAGUCUGCUAUGGUCACUAUCUCACAGCUCCUCCAACACAGUCUGCUAUGGUCCCACAGGCUUUCAUUAGACUGACCUCCCUGGCCAGCAGUUUCAGUGUCCUUCGCCGUGUUACUAGAUAAAGAAAAGCAAUUUGUUGUUAAUCUACCUUGACACUUACUGCACUGCUGGAGCUAGAAACAUAAGCAUUUCGCUGCACCUGCUGUAACAUCUGCCAAUCUCGUAAAACUGACUAUCCUACCGAUCCUUGACUUUGGCGAUGUCAUUUACAAAAUAGCCUCCAACACUCUACUCAGCAAACUGGAUGUAGUCUAUCACAGUGCCAUCCGUUUUGUCACCAAAGCCCCAUAUACUACCCACCACUGCGACCUGUAUGCUCUCGUUGGCUGGCCCUCACUACAUAUCCGUCGCCAAACCCACUGGCUCCAGGUCAUCUAUAAGUCUUUGCUAGGUAAAGCCAUGCCUUAUCUCAGCUCACUGGUCACCAUAGCAAAACCCACCUGUAGCAUGCACUCCAGCAGGUAUAUUUCACUGGUCAUCCCCAAAGCCAACAAUUCCUUUGGCCACCUUUCCUUCCAGUUCUCUGCUGCCAAUGACUGGAACGAAUUGCAAAAAUCUCUGAAGCUGGAGUUUUAUAUAUCCCUCUCUAACUUUAAGCAUCAGCUUUCAGAGCAGCUUACCAAUCACUGUACCUGUAUACAGCCAAUCUGUAAAUAGCCCACCCAACUACCUCAUCCCCAUAUUGUUAUUUAUCCUCUUUUUCACCCCAGUAUCUCUACUUGCACAUCAUCAUCUAUCACUCCAGUGUUAUUGCUAAAUUGUAAUUAUUUCGCCUCUAUGGCCUCCUUAUUGCCUUACCUCCCUACUGUUAUACAUUUGCACACACUGUAUAUAGAUUUUUCUAUUGUGUUAUUGACUGUACGUUUGUUUAUAUGUAACUCUGUGUUGUUGUUUUUGUCGCACUGCUUUGCUUUAUCUUGGCCAGGUCGCAGUUGUAAAUGAGAACUUGUUCUCAACUGGCCACCUGGUUAAAUAAAGGUGAAAUAAAAAAAAUAAUAAUCUGUGUACGCAACCAACAAACUUUGAUUUCAUUUUGAUUUGGGAAGAAGUGGAGGGCGCUCAACCAACACGAGUCGAGGUGCAACCAGAAAAUGUGAUAAUUGAAAAGGCGUAAUACUCGCUCACCAUUACAAACUCAUUGUUUUAUUUAAGCAAAAGUUAAAAGAUUUAGAUUGAAC